GUUUGACCGUAAAUGUGGGUGUCAUUGUCUGUCUAGGAUGUGUCUAUAAAACCGUGUGACGGUGUUUUGAGAAGGCGAGGCAUACACAACUAUCUCGCUGUCCUCCUCUGUCAAACAAAGUUGACCAAAGAUAAAUAUAGGCCCACUCUGUGAUAAGGGAAUCAUGUGUGAACCGGUUCGAGAACAAUCGUUCCCCUUAUUUGUGAAGUUGGCCUACAUGAAACGACCAGUAACAAUAUUAUCGCAGAGUAAGCUAUUACAAAAAAGGAGCCUCUGUUAACAGUAAGGUUGACAAUAUUUUGAAAUCGGCCGAUUGCUCCUGCAGGCUUUCAAGAGCUGAUAUCACUCUUCCACUAGUUGGGAACUUUAAGUCGACUGCGUUACAGGAGGCCUCGUCCUGGUGGGAAAUCAACAUGUCGAUAGGAGAGACCUGAGAACAAGCGGCUGAAGGUGUCUGCGGAGCCAUGAAUAAUACAGCGCCCGCACGGCCCGCAGGCCCAGGGACCAAUCACACGCCUCCUCUCCCGGUGAUGGUGUUGUCUUGGCGAUGGCUCACGUGACGUCGAGCCCUGCUGCGGUUGACAGAACCUGUUUAACAUGUUGCCCUCAUCUUUCUCCAAUUAAUUGUCUGUCUUUUUCUGUUGGUGCCUCUCUCUCCAUCUCCUUCUCUCUGCGUCUCUCUCUCUCACUCCCUCUCCUUCUCUCUGCGUCUCUCUCUCUCACUCCCUCUC
ensembl:lncRNA